GACGAACGCUGGCGGCGUGCCUAAUACAUGCAAGUCGAGCGAAGUUUUUCUGGUGCUUGCACCGGAAAAACUUAGCGGCGAACGGGUGAGUAACACGUAAAGAACCUGCCUCAUAGACUGGGACAACUAUUGGAAACGAUAGCUAAUACCGGAUAAUAGCAUUAACUGCAUGGUUGAUGUUUAAAAGUUGGUUUUGCUAACACUAUGAGAUGGCUUUGCGGUGCAUUAGCUAGUUGGUGGGGUAAAGGCCUACCAAGGCGACGAUGCAUAGCCGACCUGAGAGGGUGAUCGGCCACACUGGGACUGAGACACGGCCCAGACUCCUACGGGAGGCAGCAGUAGGGAAUCUUCCGCAAUGGGCGAGAGCCUGACGGAGCAACGCCGCGUGAGUGAAGAAGGAUUUCGGUUCGUAAAGCUCUGUUGUUAGGGAAGAAUGAUUGUGUAGUAACUAUACACAGUAGAGACGGUACCUAACCAGAAAGCCACGGCUAACUACGUG
rnacentral:rRNA from 1 species